GCGGUAGUGGCGCAGUCGGUAGCGCACCUGCUCGCCACGCAGGAGAUCGCCGGUUCGAGCCCGGCCUACCGCUC
rnacentral:tRNA from 1 species